UACGUAGGGGGCGAGCGUUGUCCGGAUUUAUUGGGCGUAAAGAGCGUGUAGGCGGCCAGGUAGGUCUGCUGUGAAAACUCGAGGCUCAACCUCGAGACGUCGGCGGAAACCAUCUGGCUAGAGUCCGGAAGAGGAGAAUGGAAUUCCUGGUGUAGCGGUGAAAUGCUCAGAUAUCAGGAAGAACACCCGUGGCGAAGGCGGUUCUCUGGGACGGUACUGACGCUGAGACGCGAAAGCGUGGGGAGCGAACAGG
rnacentral:rRNA from 1 species